UAGGUGUGUGUUCCAGGUAAAUCCGGUUCACUUUAACACUGAGGCGUGACGACGAGGCACUACGGUGCUGAAGCAACAAAUGCCCUGCUUCCAGGAAAAGCCUCUAAGCAUCAGGUAACAUCAAAUCGUACCCCAAACCGACACAGGUGGUCAGGUAGAGAAUACCAAGGCGCUUGAGAGAACUCGGGUGAAGGAACUAGGCAAAAUGGUGCCGUAACUUCGGGAGAAGGCACGCUGACACGUAGGUGAAGUGAUUUACUCACGGAGCUGAAGUCAGUCGAAGAUACCAGCUGGCUGCAACUGUUUAUUAAAAACACAGCACUGUGCAAACACGAAAGUGGACGUAUACGGUGUGACGCCUGCCCGGUGCCGGAAGGUUAAUUGAUGGGGUCAGCGCAAGCGAAGCUCCUGAUCGAAGCCCCGGUAAACGGCGGCCGUAACUAUAACGGUCCUAAGGUAGCGAAAUUCCUUGUCGGGUAAGUUCCGACCUGCACGAAUGGCGUAAUGAUGGCCAGGCUGUCUCCACCCGAGACUCAGUGAAAUUGAACUCGCUGUGAAGAUGCAGUGUACCCGCGGCAAGACGGAAAGACCCCGUGAACCUUUACUAUAGCUUGACACUGAACAUUGAGCCUUGAUGUGUAGGAUAGGUGGGAGGCUUUGAAGCGUGGACGCCAGUCUGCGUGGAGCCGACCUUGAAAUACCACCCUUUAAUGUUUGAUGUUCUAACGUGGACCCGUUACCCGGGUUGCGGACAGUGUCUGGUGGGUAGUUUGACUGGGGCGGUCUCCUCCUAAAGAGUAACGGAGGAGCACGAAGGUUGGCUAAUCCUGGUCGGACAUCAGGAGGUUAGUGCAAUGGCAUAAGCCAGCUUGACUGCGAGCGUGACGGCGCGAGCAGGUGCGAAAGCAGGUCAUAGUGAUCCGGUGGUUCUGAAUGGAAGGGCCAUCGCUCAACGGAUAAAAGGUACUCCGGGGAUAACAGGCUGAUACCGCCCAAGAGUUCAUAUCGACGGCGGUGUUUGGCACCUCGAUGUCGGCUCAUCACAUCCUGGGGCUGAAGUAGGUCCCAAGGGUAUGGCUGUUCGCCAUUUAAAGUGGUACGCGAGCUGGGUUUAGAACGUCGUGAGACAGUUCGGUCCCUAUCUGCCGUGGGCGCUGGAGAACUGAGGGGGGCUGCUCCUAGUACGAGAGGACCGGAGUGGACGCAUCACUGGUGUUCGGGUUGUCAUGCCAAUGGCACUGCCCGGUAGCUAAAUGCGGAAGAGAUAAGUGCUGAAAGCAUCUAAGCACGAAACUUGCCCCGAGAUGAGUUCUCCCUGAGACUUAGAGUCUCCUGAAGGAACGUUGAAGACGAC
rnacentral:rRNA from 1 species